rnacentral:lncRNA from 1 species
UUACCUCUCACACAAGGAUCCAUGAUGUCAGCCUCUUCCCCCUGUUGAGUCUCCUCUCCCCCUAUUGAGUCUCAUCUUCCCCUCAUUGAGUCUCCUCUUCCUUCUUCCCCCACUGAGCCUCCUCUCCCCCUAUUGAGUCUCCUCUCCCCAUGCCCUUCCUUGUCUCGGACUCAGGCACCAGGCCCCAUCAAUGCUGUCUCCUGGACCGGCUCUCUCAUCAGACAGUGACAAGGAGGGAGAAGAUGAGGGGACUGAAGAAGAACUUCCAGCACUGCCCGUCCUUGCCAAGAGUACCAAGAAGGCACUGGGUCUGUGGCAGUUGGGUGUGGGGGCAGACAGGC